UACGGAGGGGGCUAGCGUUGUUCGGAAUACUGGGCGUAAAGCGCACGUAGGCGGACUGUUAAGUCGGGGGUGAAAUCCUGGGGCUCAACCUCAGAAUUGCCUCCGAUACUGGCAGUCUCGAGUGCGGGAGAGGUGAGUGGAAUUCCCAGUGAUAGAGGUGAAAUUCGUAGAUAUUGGGAAGAACACCAGUGGCGAAGGCGGCUCACUGGCCCGUAACUGACGCUGAGGUGCGAAAGGCGUGGGGAGCAAACAGG
rnacentral:rRNA from 1 species